AUGAAACAAUUGUUAGUCUUUCUAUUUGUUUUUAGCAUUUGCAUGCUAGACCAUGUAUCAGGCGGCGGAAUCAGGAUCUCGAACGAACUCAAAAACAAGAAACUUCUUUGGAUGCGGUGUUAUUCCAAAGAUGACGUAUUAGGUCCAAAGAUAAUACCAAUCGGACAACAUUAUGAAAAUCUUUUUGAUAUUAACUUUUGGCAUACAACGCGUUUUAUGUGUACUUUGAGACAAGGUCCUAACUUUAGACACUAUCAGAACUUUACAGCAUUCAAGCUUUUCGCUAUGGCAGAUGAAGGAGGUCUAUGGGAUUGGAGAGCAAGAGAAAAUGGGAUCUAUUUAAAGAAAGAAGCUGGCGAGAAAGUUUUAAACCCAAUUUGGAUGCAUAAAGAGUAUGCUUGGAUUUAUUAAAAUUAUUGACAAACUAUCUAAAAAUGAAAAAGAAGAGUUUUCUUAUGAUUUAAAAACAAAAGAAAUUAUACAUGUAUGAGAAAAAAUCU
rnacentral:sRNA from 1 species